UACGUAGGCAGCGAGCGUUGUUCGGAGUUACUGGGCGUAAAGGGUGUGUAGGCAGUUGUUUAAGUUUGGUGUGAAAUCUCCCGGCUCAACUGGGAGGGUGCGCCGAAUACUGAAUGACUAGAGUGCGGGAGAGGAAAGUGGAAUUCCUGGUGUAGCGGUGAAAUGCGUAGAUAUCAGGAGGAACACCGGUGGUGUAGACGGCUUUCUGGACCGUAACUGACGCUGAGACACGAAAGCGUGGGGGAGCAAACAGG
rnacentral:rRNA from 1 species